rnacentral:rRNA from 1 species
CAGGAUUGCCUCAGUAGCGGCGAGUGAAGCGGCAAGAGCUCAGAUUUGAAAUCGUGCUUUGCGGCACGAGUUGUAGAUUGCAGGUUGGAGUCUGUGUGGAAGGCGGUGUCCAAGUCCCUUGGAACAGGGCGCCCAGGAGGGUGAGAGCCCCGUGGGAUGCCGGCGGAAGCAGUGAGGCCCUUCUGACGAGUCGAGUGUUUGGGAAUGCAGCUCCAAGCGGGUGGUAAAUUCCAUCUAAGGCUAAAUACUGGCGAGAGACCGAUAGCGAACAAGUACUGUGAAGGAAAGAUGAAAAGCACUUUGAAAAGAGAGUGAAACAGCACGUGAAAUUGUUGAAAGGGAAGGGUAUUGCGCCCGACAUGGGGAUUGCGCACCGCUGCCUCUCGUGGGCGGCGCUCUGGGCUUUCCCUGGGCCAGCAUCGGUUCUUGCUGCAGGAGAAGGGGUUCUGGAACGUGGCUCUUCGGAGUGUUAUAGCCAGGGCCAGAUGCUGCGUGCGGGGACCGAG